UCAAAGACCCAAUAAUUAAAAAAUUUCGGAAAAUUUCCAAAAGCCUAUUCUCUUUCGAUUUGGAGUGUUUACGAGCCAUUCGUGGUCCUCAACAACACACCCACCCCCCUCAGGGGUCAAAACCCCAAAAUUUAAAAAAAUUCAAAUAUCAUUCUCUUUCGAUUUUUAUUGUUUCUCAGCCAUUCAGGGUCCUCAAAAUCACCACUCCCCCUCUGGGGACAAAGCCCCAAAAUUUCGAAAAUUUCAGGAAUUUCAAAUAUCAUUUCUUUCGAGAUGGAGUGUUCCAAACCAUUCGAGGUCCUGAACAUCCACUUUCCGCAAAAGUGAAAGCCCUAAAAUUUCGAAAUAUAAGAAUAUAUAUAAUUGGAUGUUGGCAUGUAUGACGUCGAUAAACUCUUACACCGUUUGACCGAUCGCCAUGAAAUUUGGCACAUCGAAGUGUUUUUAUCAUGAAGAAGGUUUUUAUGCUAUCCAUUUUUUUUUGUAACUCGCCGCUAGAUGGCGCUGUAGCGCAUCAACUUCUAAACCUUUCAACCGAUCGCCAUGGGUAAACAGAAAAUCAUAGGUCACAGAUACACAAACAGUAAUUAUGUAUCAUUUCUUAAUGUCCAACACACUGGACAUAUCGCUAUCCAUUUUGCUGUAACUCGCGGACAAUAUAUCACCCGGUGUUCAGCCCGGGCAAAGCCGGGUACUGCAGCUAGUAAAUAUAUAACCCUUAUAAUAUCGUCGAAUUGCAUUCUUAUUUCCAUUAUUUUUUUCACUUAUUGUGACAUAGUAGGCUAUUCAAAAAAUAUGACGAAGUUGCAUACAAAUAUAUCGGGGCUCCUUGCGCUGCCUAAUGUUUCAAAAUGCUCUCGCUGAAAAUAAUAUAAUGACUUCAUCUAACUUAAGAGCAUUUAUUCAACUUCUAAAAAUCGUAAAAAUCGUACUUUAUUCAUAAGAAAAUAAACAUUAAUGUUUAUAUUUAAAAAAAUGUAUUUCACUGGGUGCUUCAUUCUGUAUAUUAUUUUUGUUUUUAUCUUCUGCCAGCCAUUUUACAAAACAGAUAAUGCGCGUUAGAUAUUUUGACCUUGAGUGCUUUGCCCUGUGUCGUGCAUCUCUGCGCCCGGCGAGCCGAGCCAGUCGCUCGGGGAGAGUGUUUAUUAGGCUAACGCUAUGUCACUUGCUGUGUGUUUGUAACGCCUACCUGCGGGCAGAGCUUUCCCAGCAUGUGGUGCCUGUCUGUGGGUGGUGCCUACCAACUGCCCCGCGAGGAGCCACAACGCUGGCGUACGAAACCAUAGUAGAGUAGAAGAUGCCGUAUGUAAUGCCCUGGAGCAUUUCAACUGGCAGAAACCACCAUGGAUUGGAGAGUGACGCAUAGAGAAGGAAACGAAUACCAUAGCCAAGCAGAACUAAUGACAUGGCAUGUACGUGUCCUAGUUUCUUAAGUAUGUAGCCUGAAAAAAAAAAAAAACAUAACACACAAUUUCUGUCAAAAUAUGUUCUGCAUAUCAAUUACUGUGAUUAUUACAGCCUAACUACUACCCUACAAAUCUAAAGGGAUAAAAGUACAUAUGUUGUGAAUUACAUAAAUGUGUAACACCUAAAUUCACAUACAUUUGCAGGAUAAAUACAUUUUUGAAAUUUAACUUGUAGUACAGCUAGUAAAAGUUAGAUAGUUCCAACUAGAUGUUCCUAUUCACAAAAUAACUCACCGCUAACUCUAUCCACAACAGGAAAAAAUCAUAAAACUGUUCUUUUAACUGGAUUCACAUUACAUUUUACAUCUUACUAUCAUAUAAUAACAUAUUCCCAUGGCCUAGAUAAAACAGCAAAGAUGGCUUAGAUAACCCCAGUAAGUACAGCAAGUACUAGCAGCCAAUUUUCACUAAUGACCGUAAACUUCAAAGUCUAUUAAAUUUGAAAAACUAAAGUGCACAUGGAAAUAAAAUUGUACAGUUGCAUUACACAAGAAAUUUAAUUUAAUGAGAUCAGCUAUGAUGAAUUCAUUUUAUAAGUAAUAAUCCUAUUACCUGAUAAGAAAAAGAAUGGUAACUCUCCUCCAAAACACUGCACACCAACCAAUAAACCUUCAAGUGUUUUCAUCCAUCGCUGAUCCACUUCACUUGAUAAGUCUUCUAAGUGCCUACCAACAAAAUACACAGUUCCAGUAUUGUCAUUCGGAAGUUAUUCUUGGUCAUGAAUAGCAUGGCUAAUAACGUGCAAUAGAGUUUUUAACUAACUGAGAGACCUGAAAAGAAAUACCUAUAUCACAGGACCUCAAUCAACAGCAUAUGAAUCUUUUGACGAGUAAAACUGGACUCUUGAUGAUCCGCAGCGCCCAUCCAUCUGUUUCCCAUCCGUCCGUCAAUCACGUGACCUCAAUCCAAUCAGAAGGCCCGAAAAAUUCUGUCCGUCCAUAAAAGCUCCCCAAAACUUUAACUUUUGACAGAUGGAUGGAUGAAAUUAUAACCAAAAUGUUACCAAGAAAUUGAGGCAACCUUAAUCUUAAAAGGUUUUGGAAUUUGUUUAUUUGUUUAGCUACUUACAUUAAAUGUAUUUAACUUACGUUUGAACACAUUUUUCAGUUUGAUUUUCAAUUCAAAAAUUGACCUAGACAUUAAAGUUGACAUUAAUUACAUAUGAGAAAACUGAAAAUAUGUAAAUAAAUAUUAGAGUGAAAAAAAAAUCAAGUUUAAUGAUUAUUAAAUGCUUAACUUUCAUGAUUUGCCAAUCUAAUCUUCCUACGUAAGAGAAAUUGUUGCCACCAUUUGAGACUUCUCUUCUAGUUUGUUGGUAGUAUCAAAAUGUAAAAUAAAAGUAUUUGAUGGAUGAAUGGAUGGUGGACGGAUGGGUGACAGAUGGCCGUGUCGGAUCAUUGAGAGUCCAACUUAAUGAAUAAAUCUGUACUUGUUUGGAUACUGGUAUUUGUUCAUGGUUUACAAUGUAAAUAAUACUUUCAUGCUCCACACACAUGUGUUAAUGAACUAACACUUUGCAUGACUCAGUUGUCUAAUUUAUUGUUUAUAAAGUUAUUUGGAGAAUUAGAGCAAGAAAGAGUGAAUAAAUUAAUGAAUUUUAGAUUUGGCAUUUCGUAGAAAACCUAGCCCAAGGAACCUAGCAGCUAAUCCUGUGCGGAUAUUCAAAUUUCUGAAUACA